CGUAGGAGACGAGCGUUAUCCGGAUUUACUGGGCGUAAAGCGUGUGCUGGCGGUUCGGCAAGUUGGAUGUGAAAUCUCCCGGCUCAACUGGGAGGGGUCGUUCAAAACUACCGAACUUGAGGUCAUCAGAGGAAGGUGGAAUUCCGGGUGUAGUGGUGAAAUGCGUAGAUAUCCGGAGGAACACCAGUGGCGAAGGCGGCCUUCUGGGAUGAUCCUGACGCUCAGACACGAAAGCUAGGGGAGCGAACGGGAUUAGAGACCCCGGUAGUCCUAGCUGUAAACGAUGUAGACUUGGCGUCGGAGGGUUCAAAACCUUCGGUGUCGUAGCUAACGCGAUAAGUCUACCGCCUGGGGACUACGGCCGCAAGGUUA
rnacentral:rRNA from 1 species